rnacentral:rRNA from 1 species
UACGAAGGGGGCUAGCGUUGUUCGGAAUUACUGGGCGUAAAGGGCGCGUAGGCGGCGUUACAAGUUAGGCGUGAAAGCCCCGGGCUCAACCUGGGAAUUGCGCUUGAUACUGUAGUGCUAGAGUUCGGGAGAGGUGAGUGGAAUUCCCAGUGUAGAGGUGAAAUUCGUAGAUAUUGGGAAGAACACCGGUGGCGAAGGCGGCUCACUGGACCGAUACUGACGCUGAGGCGCGAAAGCGUGGGGAGCAAACAGG